GAUGAACGCUGGCGGCGUGCCUAAUACAUGCAAGUCGAGCGAACAGACGAGGAGCUUGCUCCUCUGACGUUAGCGGCGGACGGGUGAGUAACACGUGGAUAACCUACCUAUAAGACUGAGAUAACUUCGGGAAACCGGAGCUAAUACCGGAUAAUAUAUUGAACCGCAUGGUUCAAUAGUGAAAGACGGUUUUGCUGUCACUUAUAGAUGGAUCCGCGCCGCAUUAGCUAGUUGGUAAGGUAACGGCUUACCAAGGCGACGAUGCGUAGCCGACCUGAGAGGGUGAUCGGCCACACUGGAACUGAGACACGGUCCAGACUCCUACGGGAGGCAGCAGUAGGGAAUCUUCCGCAAUGGGCGAAAGCCUGACGGAGCAACGCCGCGUGAGUGAUGAAGGUCUUCGGAUCGUAAAACUCUGUUAUUAGGGAAGAACAAAUGUGUAAGUAACUAUGCACGUCUUGACGGUACCUAAUCAGAAAGCCACGGCUAACUACGUG
rnacentral:rRNA from 1 species